rnacentral:rRNA from 1 species
UACCCGCUGAGUUUAAGCAUAUCAAUAAGCGGAGGAAAAGAAACUAACCAGGAUUCCCCUAGUAACGGCGAGCG